rnacentral:lncRNA from 1 species
GUUGUAAAUAUCUCGUCGAAAUGAACGGAUACAACAGUGAAAACUCAUUUUCAUUGGGAAGUUCCAUUUGACAGCAUCGCGAUCGGUUCAGAAAGUAUCGAUGAUGUCUCUAUUUUGGAAUGACAGCUCUAUUUUAUUUUUUUGACGAAAACAUUGUCAAGCAGUUGUGAAGAUCUCGUUGAAAUGAACAGAUACAACGGAGAAAACUCAUAUUGAUUUGGAUGUUCCAUUUGAGAGCAUCGGAUUUCUAAUGCAAUCGGUUUUAGGAAGUAUCAAACAUGUCGUCUAUUUUGGAAUGGCAGCUCGGUUUUUUUUUUUGACGGAAACAUCGUCAAGAGGGCAAGAGCUUCUGCACAUUCAUAUAGAAUACUGACCCGGUUUAUAAGAAAAACUAGGCAAAAAACCAUACAUCACGAUUGAUUGAAGGAGAACCGAGCAAACAAAAAGCAACGCCGGCAUCCCAACAUUGCAAGCUUGCUGGAAGCAAGCACACGCACCCUCCCGAAGCCGACAACACUGUCGUCGACCCCGGCUGACCUCCAGCACCAAACAAGGCCACCGUCCGGAGCGAGUUCUUCGGCGGGCGACGCCUCUCCAAGGAGGGAGACGUCGUCGAUCAUGUCAAUUGUCAACAGCCUCACCGGCCUGGCUGGGACAUUCGGUCGGCCACGGUCUAGUGAUGAAGAGGAAGUAACUUUAGACAAUGGCUCUCCAAUGAGGGAAACGACGCACCAUCAUCAUCCCCAACCGCUGCCAACGUGCUGAGACCGAGCCGUAACCCUUGUAGACGUACCUGCGGCCGCCGGCGAGGAUCAGAGGAGGGCCGCCAUCGCCACUGCACACAACACCCGUGGAACUCCGCCCAAGUCGGCAGCCGGCACCACCGCCGAAGCAACCGGGACCACGGCCAACCACCGCCAAACGCCGGAGCCCACCCAGGCCCAGAUCGGGCCCGCCCACAACCGCCAUGUCCCGGCACCACCCCUGCAGCUCCAGCCACCCACCUCCACUCCACCAACGCGCGAGAACUAGAGCGCCGCCACCGGCCGGGGUCCCCGGACUGCCCGCCCCGCGAGCCUCUCGCACUCCAGCUAGCCCCCACCGCCCAACGCGCACUGACGACCCACACCGCAGCAGCCAAAGGCCUCGCCGCCGCCGUCGUCCAAGGGCUUUCCCUUCAACUCUCUCUCAGGCGGCAGCGAUGUGCAGGGAGGAGGGAAGAGCGGUCGGCGGCGCCUAGCUAGGUUGCGGUUGCCGCCCGAGCCGCCCCGUUUGUCUCCGAAGCUUGCUACAAACGGAUAAGAAGUACUGUAGCAAGAUUAGCAUGUGUGACAAAUUUGUGCCGUCAACUUUGCCCAUCAUCUGGGAUGUUUAGCCAAAAUUUCAUGUCAAAUUACAAUGUUUCUUGAAGCAAAUAACUUGGUUGCACACGCGCACACACGCACACAAUUAAGUCAUAAAGAGAAAAAAAAAUCAGCUUCAUUUCAAGCUAGUUAUGAGUCUGAAUAUAUCCACGCAUGGGUUAACUGAAC